rnacentral:lncRNA from 1 species
AGGAGGAAAACCAUGAUGCUGUGCAGGAGGUUUCAGUUUAUACACAGGGCUCUUGUACAUGCUGUCAAACAGGGCUCGUUGAAGGUUCUAAGAGCUGACCUUGAAGCUGAUAAAAUCGUUCGGAAAUUGCCGGGCUUUAUCAAACCUGGACCUAUUGUGGGAAAUGUUCGUGGAGUCGAAGUCGGUGACGAAUUUCUAUACAGAGUUGAGCUAGCCCUUGUUGGUCUCCACCGUCCAUACCAGGGAGGAAUCGAUACCACCGAUCAUAAUGGAGUGCUUGUUGCAAUAAGCAUCGUUGCUUCUGGAGGUUAUCCCGAUAGAUUGUCAAGUUCAGGUGAACUCAUAUACACUGGUUCUGGAGGACAGCCUGCUGGUAAGAAGAAAGGUGAGGAUCAAAAGCUAGAGAGGGGAAAUCUUGCCUUGAAGAAUUGCAUCAAGACAAAGACACCUGUCCGAGUGAUUCAUGGAUUCAAAGGCCAAAAUGGCAAGGAUGACAGUUAUUCAAGGGCUAAACAAAUCUCAGCAUUUACUUAUGAUGGGUUGUAUCGUGUGGUGGAUUACUGGAGAGAAGGUCUAAAAGGUUCUAUGGUCUUCAAAUACAGACUACAAAGAAUUCAUGCUGGUCGAUGAGGUUGAUCAUCUAAAUCUUUUCUAGUAAGCUUAUUAUUUAGUCUUAACAAAUGAUUCAGGCAGUAAAUGGUACAAUGAGAUUCUUUUCUACACCAUGGAUACUUACGCCAAUCUAAACUCUCUUGCUUGUUAGGUACAGAAUCAAGAUGUAUUUUUUUUGUCCUGGGUGAUAUAAUUAGCUUAGAAGGACAAGAAGUUACAUGGGCCUGGUUGAAGGUAUGUUAUAGUUGCAGGGUAUCUAAAGGGGACAUUUUACUGUACCCCUAUUGGUUAUGGUAGUAGUGUAGUAGGAAGCAGAUCAUCUAAAGCUAUGGCUAUUUUAGUCAUGUACUUCGUUAAGGUGAAGGGGCAAUUUAGUCUUCCGAUUAUCCCAAUCGAAGCAAAACAGGACUCGUUGGUUUGUUAGAUCGGCCCAAGCCUCAUUCUGCAUCUCGACGCACGACGGCCAAACCACAGCGCCGUCCAUAUUUGUAUGCAUUUUCCAGAGGUAUCUUUGCGAUAACAACCAUGCAAUCUUAGAUAUAUUUGUGAAAAGAAAAAAGUGCAUGCAUUGGAAUAUAACCGUUUCUUGCCUUGUGCAAAAGCUACCACUUCUCCUUCAGUGUGUACUUGGAUCAUAGAAGGUGACACCUUCAAAAUGCACCAGACAAGAUGCCAGUAACAAGAACAUGAGUAUGUGGAUUGGAUUGUCAAUCACCAAAACCCCUGAAUUCAGCUGUGCACCACAGCUGCCGUGGGUUAGCUCGUAUAAGAGUGUGCCCAAAUAUGAAAAUCACACUCAUGAAAAUCAAAAUCAUUUCUAUUAACAAGAUGCAGUAAAAUCAUGACAACAUCCUGAAGAAAAUUUGGUUAGCUGAUAGAAGUCAUAGAACAAAAUGUAUUUCAAAAUAUAUUCCAUCACUGAUUUCAAUUUCAGGAGCCCAAUUUUUGUACUAACUAUUUAACUGUAGGAAAGCUUACUAUAAACCAAUGAAAAAAAGAAAGCAUUAUAUGAUGACUUGUCUGAAUUACAGAAUAUGUGGCGUAGUUGUCCACUUACAAAUGAAUUCAUCAACUAAUUGAUCUCAAGGUUAUUCCAGAUUGUAGAUAGGAGCACAUCUCAAGCUUCAAUUAAAAAUCCAUCCAAAAUACGAAUUGAAGGACAAAAGUGACCAGAAUUAGGAAUGCAUACUCUAAUACUCUAUUCUCAGGAGUCAGGACAGUUAGAUAACCUGCUGGCUGUUGUGCUGGUAGCCUUGGCAUUUUCACCUUCACGUGUCAAUAAAAAAGAGUAAAUAUGACUUUCGUGGAGAAUUGCUUGAGUACAGUGUACACUGGAUGGGAUCACCUAUACAUUUGUCGACAAAUUCUCUUCUAAAAAUUUGACAAAUGAAAUUAUAGGACAAUUGUGAUGUAGGCUGUGUUUAGUUUACACCAAAAUUGGAAGUUUGGUUGAAAUUGGAACGAUGUGACGAAAAAGUUAGAAGUUUGUGUGUGUAAAGUUUUGAUGUGAUAGAAAAGUUGGAAGUUUGAAGAAUUAUUUUGGAACUAAACACGGUGGUAAUUUCACUGUAACUAUUAUAACUUGUAUGUAACUUUUAAAAGUUUCUUCGUAGUAUACUAUUUCGGUGAAACGGAAGUCGUGGGAACGAAUCCUCUGACAUAUGUGUGUGUUAUUUUUUUCCUUCCUCACUUGCACAAAUCUUGAAACAAAUCUAACGGUCCAAAAUUAUGUGAAAGUUAUGUAUAAGUUAGACUGUAGUUACAUGCAAGUUACAGUAUAAUUACAUGUAAGUUACAUUAUAAUUACAUUACGAUUGUUCUGUAUUACAUCUGCCAAAUUUUUAGGAGAAAAUUUAUCGACAAAUGUAUAGCAAAAUUGUUUUGUAAUAUAUUGAUUAGAAAAUUCUCAAUCUCACUCUUCAUAGUAUGGUUUUGAAUCUCAAGGGUGAUGUUUUCCGGUGGCGAAAAUGGGCGUGAAGUGUCGCUCGAACUCCUGGAAGGGGUGAGAGUCGAAGCACUAGAACACAUGCGCAAGUACACGGAAGGCACUUCGGCAACCUAUAACAAGAAGGUUCGACCGAUAGAACUCCGGCCCGGCCAUCUCGUACUAUCCUAACCUAUAUUUUUCCUUCAAAUUUAAAAUCGGGUAUAGGUAGUGCCGGAUCGGAUAACAUGUCACUUGUGCCGUAUCACAUUCCAUAUUAAUUUCUCGAAAUCGGAUACAUGAAAGAAUUUCUAUGUGCAAUUCAUGCAUAUUAAAUAUAGAGGGGCAAUUAAAGUACCAAAAGAGAUAAAGCAAGAAAACAUUUAUGUAAUAUUACCUAUGAUAUUAUAAACUAGUGUAAUCAAUAUUUUAUCAUGUUUGUAGGUGAACUUAUAACAGAUUUUCAUAUAUGUAUAAUAAUAAUAUGGGAAUACGAGUGGACACAACUUUUCCCUUAUUAAAACAUAUCUUUUACGAAUUUGGAUUCGAACUUGGAUAGUAUCGAAUAUCCAUUUUCUCUCCCAUGUUCUUGUGAGCCUCAGGCCAGGCAGGUGGUCGGAAAAUGCCCGUCCCAUUUUCGCCCGUAGUAAGAACUAGAAAAAAAAAUCUGAAUUUACCCCUGAACUAUUGACACCAUCCGAGUAACCCCAUAAAUUACAAAACCAGACAUAUCUACGCCCCUAAACUUUUCAAACCAGACAACAAAACCCCUAACUCAAUCCGAAGCGGUUUGGAUUUUAGGUGACAUACAUGUGUUAGUCCAAACAACAAAAAGUAAUAAAAAAAUAGUGGGCUCGGUCAGUCUCCCUCCUCGCUUUCGUCCACUUCCAUCUCUCUCUCUCUACCCCCAAGUCCUAACAGAAAGGAGGGAGGUGGCGGAAGCUCAGCUGCCGGAGGAAGACCGUGGCAAAGGAGGCGUCCUCGGGCAUCGAGGUGCAUCAUGACCUCCCGUGGAGGCGGCGGAGGCGCUAGCUAGCACAGAGCACUUGACGACUUUGGUCUUGCAUCGAUGCCUCGACGCACGCGCGACUGCUUCUAGGAUAGAUGGUGAUGUGCUCGAAAAUGGCUCACCAAAGCCAUGAUCUUGAUCACUUGGUGGAUCUGGAAGGAGCACAUUGUGCGUAUCUUCGGCAGAGUUCAGCGCCAUGGUGUUGCAGACCUAGUCUAGUGUGUGGCGGUAGCUAUUAGCGGUUUAAGAACCUUGAGGCGGUCUUGCUUUAAGCGGUAUGAGAUGGUCUUACCUUGGCAAAACUAGUUUCCUGAGAUUUUAUAUUCUAAAAUCCUUUUAAAAUCUAACAAAAUUUAGACGGCGUCCUUCGACCGCUCAGUGAAAAAAACUAAAAAUUAUGGUCGAAGUUUUAGAAUUGGACCAAAAUUAUCUAAAACAUAACCAAGUGAGUACAAAAUCUAUUAGGAAAACAAGAGGAGUGUUACUAUCCCUAAAUAGUAUGGUCUCCGUUUCAUAUUAUAAGUUGUUUUUAUUUUUUUUCUAGUCAAACACUUUUGGUUUGAUCAACUUUAUAGAAAAAUAUAGUAACAUCUGCAACACUAAUUUAGUUUAACUAAAUAUAAUAUUAAAUAUAUUUUGGUAAUAUGUUUGUCUUGCGUAAACUGGAUCAAACUUAAACGACUAAGAGCAGGUACAAUAACAGACUAUAAGCCAGCUAUAAAUAUAUUUUAAGGAGAUAAAAGAGGAAAGAUAAGAGCAGCGGGCUACAGAUUUAUAGCUAGCUACAACACAGACUCCAAGACACAUGUGUGUAUGAUAGAUGAGACCAUAUAUUGAUUGUGUAGUAUAUGUUUAUAUGUACUUCCUCCGUUUCAGGUUAUAAGAUAUUUUGAUUUUGGCCAAAGUCAAAUAGCUUUAAGUUUAACCAAAUUUGUAGAAAAAGGUAGUAACAUUUUUAACACAAGACAAAUUUAUUAUGAAAAUAUAUUCAAUUAUUGAUUUGAUGAAACUAAUUUAAUAUUAUAAAUAUUAUUAUAUUUUCUAUAAACUUAAUGAAACUUAAAAUAAUUUGACUUUAACCAAAGUUAAAACGUUUUAUAAUCUAAAACGGAGGGAUUAACUAUUGUAUAAAUUGGCUAUUAAGUUAAUUAUUAAUGAUUUAGAGCCAAUAGUUUACUAUACCAUUAAACUUGCACUAAUGAUAUCAUGAAAUGAAACGGCGGGAGUAGCAGCAGCCGUUUCAGCAGCUACCAUCGUAGAACAGCAUCAUUGCCACAAUAAUGCCCACUACCAGUCUACUAAUUUACGCCGCAGUAAAUACUCCUACUCCAAUGCAAACCUCACCGGUACUAUAUAAAACGAGAAGGCGCCAGGCGGGUUGCAAGCAAACACACGACCCACCCGUCGUUGGGUCAGCCACGUGCACCGCGACCGAGCCGGACCAGUUUGGUCUCGGACAGUCGGACCCGAGUCAACCUUCAGCCUCUGGUGCGGCGUCCGCCCGCCACGUGUCCUCGCCUCACCAAUCAUCACCCAUCCUUCUCUUCUCGGCCCCACCAACUCUCUCUCUCUCUCUCUCUCUCGCUGCUCGCGCAAAAACCCCAACUGCGUCGCCGUGCUCGCCGCCUCGCCGCCUCGGCCUCGCCGCGCGCUCUCUCGCCGCCGGUGUCUGGACGACGAGGAGGUGAGUCCGUACGCCUCGCCUCUGUGUUGUUCUUCGUGUUCGCUGCUUCGGUUCGUCGUGUUGUGAUGUGAUGGCGUGUUGGAUGAUGUGUGUAACGGCUAAUUUGGUGCGGGUUUUUUGGGCUUGGUGGUGGUGGUGGUGGUGAUUUGCAGGGCGGGUGGCGGCGGGGGAUGGAUCGCUGGGAGGCGUUGAUCGCCGCCGCCGCGCGGCGGAGCGAGCCGCCGAGAAGCGGGUGGGCGGAGUGGGGCGGGGGCGGGGGCGGCGACGCUCGCGCGACGGCGAUUCCGUCUCGCUGUCCUCCUCGUCCUCGUCCCGUGGCUGCGGGUGGGCGAGGCGGGGGGGGGGGGGGGGCGGUAGAAUGCGGGGGCGAGGUGGGGAGGAGGGGACGUGGAAGAGUCAUGGUGGAGGGGGACGAGGUGCGGAGCGCGCGGGCGCGGUGGUGGCGCCGCCGAGGGCAGCGGACGCGGCGGGGACGGGGACGGGGACGGGGAGGAACGCGGUGGCCGUCAACGGUGGUGCGGCGGAGGAUGGUAGGAGGACGCCUCUGUUUCUGUUCGUCACCUCCUCUGCUUGGGUUUCGUCGAAUGCCUGGGAUGCGUGACUGUUAAUUUGGUCCUCUUUGUGUUCAGUGGUGGUGAUUGCAUCAGGGCGGCGAUCGGUGGGCGAGCCGACGCUGGACGUCUCGGAGAUGCUGCUCCAGGCGGCGGAGACAUGGAGAAGCCGGCGCACGCAGCGCGAAGCCCGCCCGGACGCGCUUCCACCUCGUCCCGUCGCCGCGGAUGGGCGAGGCGGCUCAGGCGAGGGGACCAGUAGAGCGCGGGGGCGCGGCGAGGAGGGGAUGACUCAAGUGGCCGUGGCCGGUGGUUUGGCCACGCUCACGCACGGCGGCGAGCGGGAUCCUGGCGCGGCGGUGGCGACGGAGGAGAAGAGAAAUGGCGGCGAGGUGGGGACGAAGAAGGGGUUGGAGGAGCGGGCCGCGCGUUCGCCGCCGCCGCUGCCGCCGCCCAAGCGGAGGGCGGUGUCGGCCGUUCGCCAGUUUCCUCCAGGUUGCGGAAGGGACGCCGCUGUUCCACUCGGGCGCCGCCACGGCCGCGGCCGCAAUGCCGACGGUGGUGUUCGUCCGUUGGAUCAGGCGACUGCUCCUCCUCUCGCUGGCAGCAAAACUGAUUUGCCGUUGGAAGCUGUGGUGGAUGGUGGUGAUCCAAUUGCAAAUGUGCAUCAAAUCUUCACAUGCUUCGGAUGAGAAUCAGGUCGCUCACAAACUUGGUUCACUGAAAAACGGUGUACAAGAAGGGGCAGCAAAUAGUGGUGAAUUGCUGGGGAGGAAGCAAGUGAUGGCUCAAGCCGCGAAUGUGCUUCCAAAGAGGAGGAUGGUACCCGUGACGCGCUGCUUCCCUCCUGGAUGUGGGAGGGACGUUAAGACUGGUUCAGGUUUGGAAUUCAUGGCUGUUGAUGCUUCUUGUGGUGGUGUGUCAAAGGAGGUGGUGGCUUCGGAUGGCGGUGAUAGUUUGGUUAGCCAGGAAUUGGAGGAGGGUGAGGUGGCUGAGGAGGCAUACUCUGAUGUAGAUUCACAAAAUGUUGCUGUGGAUGAUUCCAUGGCUGCAGCUACUGAAGAUGUUAAGGUGAUGAACAAAUGCAAAGGGACCUUACCCAGAGCCGCUGCUGAACCUUGUGCUGAGGGUCCUUCCAAAGAACAUUUUAAGGGUACGAGGGAGUGUGAAAAUGAUAGGAUGGGAAAAUCAUCCAUGAAUGUUGCAACAGAAGUAUUUGGUGAUUGUAUGAUGAGAAGUAAGAUACCAUUGAUAGCUAGAAAAGCAGUCAAGUCACCACUGAACAUUCUGCAUAGACGUCCCUUCUCUAAGGGAAAAGAGGAGUGUGUUGUAACAAAUAGUGCUCCAUGUGGUCCUAAGAAGAAGUUGAAGGUAAAAGGUGCAUAUCAAACUAAAGAUAUUCCUAUCAAGAUUGUCUCUACACCUGGAUUAGGGGGCAAGGACAACCUUGUCGACAAAGAGGCUUUGAUCUUGGAAGAUGAUGAUAUUUUGAAGGCACUAGCUGUUCAUGAUGGAACACUUAAGUUGUAUCUCAAUGCUUCCUCAUCUGUGCAGCAUCACGGGCAACAUGGAAGUGGGAAUGCUGAUGAUAGGAGGAAAACCAUGAUGCUGUGCAGGAGGUUUCAGUUUAUACGCCAGGCUCUUGUACAAGCUGUCAAACAGGGCUCGUUGAAGGUUCUAAGAGCUGACCUUGAAGCUGAUAAAAUCGUUCGGAAAUUGCCGAGCUUUAUCAAACCUGGACCUAUUGUGGGAAAUGUUCGUGUUGUCGAAGUUGGUGACGAAUUUCUAUACAGAGUUUAGCUAGCCCUUGUUGGUCUCCACCGUCCAUACCAGGGAGGAAUCGAUACCGCCGAUCAUAAUGGAGUGCUUGUUGCUAUAAGCAUCGUUGCUUCUGGAGGUUAUCCUGAUAGAUUGUCAAGUUCAGGUGAACUAAUAUACACUGGUUCUGGAGGACAGCCUACUGGUAAGAAGAAAAGUGAGGAUCAAAAGCUAGAGAGGGGAAAUCUUGCCUUGAAGAAUUGCAUCAAGACAAAGACACCUGUCCGAGUGAUCCAUGGAUUCAAAGGUCAAAAUGGCAAGGAUGACAGUUAUUCAAGGGCUAAACAAAUCUCAGCAUUUACUUAUGACGGGUUGUAUCAUGUGGUGGAUUACUGGAGAGAAGGUCUAAAAGGUUCUAUGGUCUUCAAAUACAGACUACAAAGAAUUCAUGCUUAUAGAUGAGGUCGAUCGUCUAAAUCUUUUCUAGUUUGCUUAUUGUUAAGUCUUAACAAAUGAUUCAGACGGUAAAUGGUAGAAUGAUAUUCUUUUCUACACCAUGGAUGCUUACGCCAAUCUAAACUCUCUUGCUUGUUAGGUACAGAAUCAAGAUGUAUUUUUUGUCCUGGGUGGUAUAAUUAGCUUAGAAGGACGAGAAGUGGCAUGGGCCUGGUUGAAGGUAUGUUAUAGUUGUGGGGUAAUCUAAAGGGGACAUUUUACUGUACCCCUACUUGUUAUGGUAGUAGUGUAGUUGGAAGCAGAUCUUAGUCCUUUACUUCGUUAUAAGGUGGAGGGGCAAUUUAGUCUGUUCCGAUUAUCCCAAUCGAAGCAAAACAAGCCUUGUUGGUUUGUUAGAUCAGCCCAAGCCUCAUUCUACCUCUCGACGCACGAUGGCCACGCCACAGCGCGUCCAUAUUUUUAUGCAUUUUUCAGAGAUACCUUUGGGAUAACAACCAUGUAAUGUUAGAUACAUUUGUAAAAAAAAGAAGUGCAUGCAUUGGAAUAUAACCGUUUCUUGCCUUGUGCAAAAGUUACCACUUUUUCCUGCAGUGUGAUUGGAUCAUAGAAUGUGACACAUUCAAAAUGCACCAGUUUUGUUUGUAGCAGUAUUCAGAUCAAUCAUGGAUCGCUGAUACGUGAGAUCAAGCAAAUAGACAAGAUGCCAGUAACAAGAACAUGAUAUGGAUUGGAUUGUCAAUCACCACAACCCCUGAAUUCAGCUGUGCACCACAGCUGCCGUGGGUUAGCCCGUAUAAGAGUGUGCCCAAAUAACAACAGCAAGCCAAUACAACUAAUUUUGGUAAAUAACCUAAUCAAAUAACUAUAGGCCUAAAACAGGUCCACCCACACUCCCACAGGAUGUCAGGAUUAUCAUGUGUUUUAGCAAUUUAUCUUCCAGGGACUGAAUUGGCACAAAACUGAACAAGAACAAAACAUAUAGGAUGUGAGAAUUAACAUGUGUUCUGUACUUCAUUUUUCAAGGACAGAACAAGUGCAAUAAUAAAUAAGAACACCAUUUUUUCUUCUAGCUUGAUGACUGAUAAUUCUCAAAGGCAAUGCAUUUUUAUCUUCAUGAUGAUAAACCAACUGUUUCAUUUGAAAAGUGACAAAUAAAUUGCUUUCAGCUUCAUGAACUCUUCUGGUCUUCCUCCAUAUCACCUUCACCAUACAUUAAAUAAAAUUAGAGUGGACAAACUGCUAAUCCAAAAGUACUGUAUAUACAAGAUCCUCAAGGUCAAGUCACACUCCUGAAAGUAAAAAUCAUUUCUGUUAACAAGAUGCAGUAAAAUCAUGGCAACAUCCUGAAGAAAACUUGGCUAGCUGAUAGAAGUCAUUGAACAAAAUGUAUUUCAAAAUAUAUUCCAUCACUGAUUUCAAUUUCAGCAGCCCAAUAUUUUUACUAACUAUUUAACUGCAGGAAAGCGUACUAUAAACCACUGAAAAAGGAAAGCAUUAUAUGAUGACUUAUCUGAAUUACAGAAUAUGUGGCGUAGUUGUCCACUUACAAAUGAAUUCAUCAACUAAUUGAUGAAAAAUCCAUCCAAAAUACGAAUUAGGACAAAAUUGACCAGAAUUAGCGGACAUCGAGGACAAAUAAUAAAAAGGAAUGCAUACUCUACUCUCAGGAGUUAGGAUAGUUAGAUAACCUGCUGGCUGUUGUGCUGGUAACGUUGGCAUUUUCACCUUCAUGUAGGAUCGAAUAGAAAGAACUAAGCCAACCAAAGAGAGUGAGUAAAUGGUUAGUAUACCUAAAAACCCAAACUUUUUGCGGAAUUAAAAGUUACUCUCAAAUCGAUGUAGAUCGGUCUGACCGAAGUUGAUCCGCCGGUCUAACCGGUGUAGAUCUCCCAGUUGGACCGCCCUGAAAUCGCCUCUGUCUCCUGAAGCCGUCGCCGGUCUGACCGCCGUAUACCCGCCAGUUUGACCGCCGCGAUGCCACCGGUCUGACCGCCGGUGUCUCGCCGGUUAGACCGCCGAACCUGAGCAAACACAAAUCAAAGAAUUCUCGAAGUAGAUGACAACUUUAUUACUUCUCUCUGUGUUUACAAAGUGCAACAACAGCACUCCUCACGAAAAUCUUGGCUAAAUUCGAAACCCUAACUCAACUCUCAACUCAAUGCUCUUAAAAGCGAUACCGGGAAGCCUCACGCUCCCUCUCUAUUUAUACAUGAAGUAGGCAGCCUAAAGCCACUAAUCAAACUCAUACUAGAAGUCCUAAUCCACCUAACCUUCCCGUACAAGAAACAAACUUUACAAACUCCAAUCAUACCAAAUUUGGACUCCUUCAAAAUUCAACUCCGUAUCCCAUACGCACACAAUAUCUCCAUUGUAUGCCAUAUGGAAUCUUCACCAACCAUGUGUAUUGAUCUUUAGCCUAAGUAUUCCACAUGAUAUCUGACUGUCCGGACGUCAUCUUAUCUCCAAGUCGACUCCCGAUCCAUCACCGGCAAUACUCUCCUGAGGCAUCAAGUCACCUACACAUGAAUCAAACAAAGAAACCAUAUUCCAAUACCAAGCUAUCUCCAAUUUGACUCAUUGUUAGCAAACAACAGUAUUACAUACGCAUAGUAUCCAUCUAGAAGCCAUAAACAAGAAACAAUCACGGAUAUCCAAACAAACAACCUGAAACCGAAGCCGACACAGAGUCGGCCGGUCAGACCGCGGGCUGGCUGGUCUGACCGGCAACCACUGCCCGGUCUGACCGGACCAACUAUCCAGCAGCACCUGUAAAUCCAAUCAUCUCCAAAACCACUUUGCCAAUAAUCUCCAAAUAUCAAAACCGAUAAUCACAGAUGCCAAUUGUUCAUCACAGAAUAAAGAAUCAAAAACACUUUGAUUUUACACUUCACAUGUUAAUAAAUAAGAAUAAAUGUGAAUUCCGUGGAGAAUUGCUUGAGUACAGCGUAUACUGAAUGAAGUAAAAUACAUGAGUUAACUUUGUAACCCCCCCCCCCCUCCCCCCCUCUUCUCCUCCCACGCCCAUUUUCUGUCGAAGUAAAUCCACCAGUGGAUGUACUGUAACCUCCACAAUUCUAAGCACAGAAUUAUGCCACCACGGGUCCAAAGGUAUGAUGCAAUUUUAGAAAUUUAAUGUGGCGCAGAAUACAAUAGGUCUAUCCAAAAUCUGUAUAGAGGAGGGCUCAUAAGCAGAUACAUGUUAGGAUAGGGAAUUACAAUGUAUGUUGUCAUCAGAAUGCAUCAGCAUGGUAACUAUAUUAUCUACCAUCCCCAAAGUAGCAAACAUUUAUAGGGAUGAUAACACGGAUACAGUCUGGAUAGUUCAACUUUGUGUAAUAUCUUGGUUAGAAUAUUCUCAAUCUCACUCUUCGUAGUGUGGUUUUGAAUCCGAUUCCCUCAGGUGAAGUUUCAAUUAAUCAGUCAAUAAGAGUAGUAUAUUUGAUUAUUGGCUUUCACACACAUCAAACAAAUCAACAAUAAUAGAGUGGCACAUCAAAUAAAUCUUGUAGAAGAACAGAAGAUUGAGGGCUUCGAAGUGUUGUGAGGGCUUCGAAGUUCAAUCAUUCCACCAAAUGCCAAUACAUAUUAAGUGUCCAUAUCAAUAUGAAUAAAUUAUUUAGAAUUUACACAUAGCUAUGUCAAAUCAAAUUUGUUAAAGUUCAUGAUUUGAAUUUGAAAAAUACAUGGUAUAGCUCUGUGUAAAUUUCAAAUAAUUCACUCAUAUUAUUUAGGAGAAGAACACACCCUUAGCUGGUAGAUCCUAGCUUUGUUCCCUCCCUGUUCACCUUAUAGGAUCGAACACAAAAAAACCAAGCCUACCAGAGAGGGAUGAAUGGUACGAAUAUCAAGAACAAAAACUUUUAGCGGAAACAAAAGUUUAUCCUCUAACCUGAUGAAGUCCUUGGCAUAGCCGGUCUAACCACUGUAUGCACACCGGUUAGACCGCUCAUCUACGUUGGUUGUCUCAUGCCAGCAAUAGAAGCAGAGUCAGCUCCCCCUACCUAUGCUAUUGCCUCCUCCUCGACCUCCCUGCAUCAUCCCCACCUCUCAUCCCACAUGAGCAUCAUCGUUUUUUGUCAAGCCGAGCAGCAUCGCUACCUCCUUGCCGAGCCGAACUAUGUCGCCCGCCUUCUCUCUUGGCCUCUCCUUAUCAAUGCCACUACCUCUCUAUCGAGACAAGCUGCUCUACUGCCUCUAGGUCUAGUCCUGAUCUGCGUACCUAGUGAUCUCGAGCUCAGAAGAUUCCAAACUCAACGUCGUUUGGCUUGACUUCAUUGCAUUCUUCCUAGCACCACAUCAGUUUUGACCUCGCCCACCUCCUCCCAAAACUCCAUGGGCAGCAACAACAGAGAGAGAGAGAGGCAAGGAGAACUGAUCUUUGUAGUCAGAACACCGUCGAGGCAAGUCUUCGUCACUAGAGAAUUGAAGAAAAGCCAAGGUAGUGGUGGAGAAGAGGGCAGGGCAACGUUGUCCUAGAGACACUAAAAAUCCCAAGUUCACCUGUCUUGUUUAACUAGGGAAGGCUGGAAAGGCAUAUAUUAGAGAGUCAAAAUAGAAAGUUUAUUGGAGCACAAGAAUGAGGGAAUCUUUUGGCAUGGAUGGUUAAAUGGAGAUUUGGAUAGCCAAAUUUGAUAUCUCUUGGAGAUGAUGACUGUUAUCUCACUUAGAAGAUAGUAUAUGCAAUAUGUUAGCUCUAGGUGCAAGUAAUUUUAUUUUAUUCAUUUUAAACUACUCUUUUUCUUUCCUUCCCUUUUUUUAUGCAUAAGUCAUCAACCUCUCCUUCAGUAAAAUAUAUUUAUCUAAAAUGUUCUACACCUACAAUUACGUUGAUAACUAGCCAUUAUGCAACUAAAAUAGGGGCAACUCCUUACAUGUCACCAAGCAUGUAUAGUUAGUUUUUAGUGCCUUGAAAGGAAUUUAUCAAACCAUGAGUGGCAAAUCAAUUGUGCUCAGAAGCCUCAAUAAACUUCUGCUGAUCUGCACUCUAGGAAGCUAAUGGUUGAUCUGUAUACUUCCUGCAUUUCAUCCACAACAUCUGUUUGGCAUGUGGUAAUUAAGAAAAACAAAUAAUCCAAUUAGGUGCAAUCAGCACAAGUACCAAUAAAAAGACCAUAUCAAGAGAACUUCAACAUCCUUUUGUGCUGCAGAUCACUUGGACAAGAUCCAUUCUUUUCUUUUCCCGGUGACGAUCAAGAUCUGCUGAAAAAGCUGAAUUAAAAGAAAGGCAAUCAAGCAGCACAGGAAGUAAUAAUUUGACACUACUAAGCUGAAUAAAGAAAGGUAAUCAGCACACGAAGUAAUAAUUUGACACUAUUCAUUUUUUUCAUUCAUUCACACGCUCUGAGCACAUUAUCCUCAAUCCUGCUGCCUUUUUCUUCUCUCUUUCCUCUUUUUCAUGUUCAGAUCUGCAUUCUGAUUUGAUGACAUACGAAAUGUGAAUCUUCUGACAUCUAGCAUAUGGGGUGGAAUGGUAAAACAGAAUUUGAGGAAAAUAUGGACGGGCACACGGCACUACGUCAAACUGGUUGGCAACUUGUGAUCAUCUGAACAAUUGCAACAAGAGUACAUUGCAAAAUCAUGGUCUCUGCUGCCAUUAUUCCAUUAUUUUGCAAUGAUCUAAAUAUAGACGACAAGAUGAACCCGUAUAUGCCAUAUCCAGGUGUGAUAUAAAAGGAAUAUAAAAGGAAGCUGUACACAUUUGCUGAUACUGUACUAAAAUAGGCGUUCUGAAUUCACACUGCACAUCAAUCAGAUCCAGAUCAAGAAAGACCAUAAAGAAACCAAAUUAAAACUGGAUCCUUCAGCUUUGCAGGAGUCAGCGUGACCUUGUAUUCCUUGUUUGUUUAGAUCAAACAUUAUUUCAUUAAAUUCGAAUUGUUACAAUACUCUCUAGAGAAAGUUCACUUGUAAACUAAUUGAUACAUAGCAUUUGUAGAAAAAUAUGACCGUAUUGUUGGAGCCAAACCGCGGAAAAAGUAGUACAGUUCUCAGGAGACUAAUAAAUCUAACUUGAGAAGAAGAGAAACCUCAGCAUAUCUCAAUUAUCACAUUUGAUUCAUGUCAGCUUGAAAACUAUGCAGAACGAGCCGUAGCUUCAGACCCAGUGGACUCAUCAGGCCUGAUGAGCACAAAACUUUGGUUAGUAGUUGAUUAUAUGGAGAAAAAAAAAGCAAUGAAGAAUUAGGGAUAGGUCAAAUUAAACUGAAGUCGGAUGAGAAAAUUAGCAAGAACCAUAAAGUAAAAUCGCAAACAAUUGAUAUCUAAAAGAACAUAUUGCUUUUUUUAUGGGCCAUCAGUUUGUUUAGUGCAUCUGCUGUUAAAGGACAGGAAGGUUUAUAGUGCAUAUGCACAACUGCAAAAAAUUAAUCAGAUAAAAUUACCAUCCACCCCCACCAAAACCCAAAAAAUGCUCAAUCCAUUGUUGCUGUGACAAAUAUAUUGUACCUUUGAAACUCCUUCGCCAACUUCCAUCCUAGCAAAAUUGCCAACUGUAACUUUUGAGCCAACUUCCUUUGACAAAUCAUUCAGGACGCUCUGAAAAUGUUGACAUCAAGAAGCAAAACCAUUAUGUACCAUGAAUUCACAAUUCAAACUAGUACUACAUAAUUAAAAAAAAGGAAAAGGUUUUAUCAGUUCACCUUGAUGUUUGUGCUGUCAUUGACAACAUAUUUUUGCUCCAAAAGCACAACUUCUUCAAAAUACUUUCUUAGUCGGCCUUCCACCAUUUUCUCCAUGGCCAUUUGGGAUUUUCCAGAGCUUUCAGCCUAAAAAGUUUCAGAGUAGUGUGUCACUAAAUCUUAAAUAACUUGAAUGCAGUUCAGUCAUAUUCCAGAUGGAUGUAGCCCAUGUGUCUCCAGAAGAUGACAAAAGAUAUUGCUAUUUAAUUCAUGGAAAAAUAAACAUAAUUGGUAUCAUAAACUUCUAAUAUACGGAUUCACAUUGUGUUCCAUUGCAUAGCUCAUCUCUGAAUUCUAACAGCCCAGCUGUCUUGCUUACAUAAACAUAAAACAAUGUGACAGGAAUACUAAUUGAGAAAAUUCUAUUGUGAGUCAACAGUUUCCUUUCAUUUUCUUUUAGUUAUAAUGAGUUAGGACUUAUCACAAGAUAUGCAUUUUUCUCUCAACUAUAGGUCAUUAUUGCCUAUGUAUGUUUUUCUGUUAAGAUAACAUCAGAACACUUGGUAUGGUAUGACCUUAUGAUACCUGAUAUCUCUAUGUAAAGCACACGCCCAUUUCUUCAAUUGUAAGCUAAUCAUAUAGAAUUACAGUGAUGCUAAAUUUUUCCGGUGCAAAGGAAGUAACAUUUAUCAGAAUAACGUACCUGAGUCCGGAGUAUGUCCCUCUCAUUUUCAACAGCUGAAGCAGAGACCAGUUCUUUUGAUAAAAACAACGGCUUUGUCGCAACGAUGUGCAUUGCAAUAGAUUUCCCGACUCUCUGAAGAGCAUCAAGAGGAGCAUUGCUGUCUUCUGCCUCUAGUGUGAUCAAGCCAGCAAGACGACCCAAACCUUAUUUCAGAAAAAAAAGAAAAAGCUUAUUCAUUCAGUGAACGAGAAAUUGCACCAUUUACCAUAUAUCAAUACAACUUCAUACUUCUGAAGAACAUAAAAUAUGGAUUGCUGUUAGGAAUCAAAUUAAUAAUGCGAGCAAGCUUGGCCAGCUCAGUGUAAGAGGCAAGUAUCACUAAAGUCGUAUUACUAUCAAUGGUUUUACAAAUGAGCUUGCAUCCUACUAAAUAAAUAAAUAAAUAAGAAGCUAAAAUUCAUCACUGGACAACCCUAAGAGAAUAGAUUAACUAUAAUUUAGAUUAAGGAAGGUAAUGUCCAGAAAGUCCAACAAAUUUAGAUUUCUGAACCCACUGCCACCCCACCCCCCGGCACAAAAAAAAAAGGAAAAUAAAUAAAGGCAAGGACAAGUAUGAUCCAUGCUCAGUAGUCACUAGAAAACUUUCAUUUGGUUAUGUGCACUCAAACUUAGCCAAGAAGAUUGGAAAACAUGCAUGCUACAUUCUUGAUAAAAGCCAAAGGGCAGAGAUUUGUGCAUGUACCUGGCUGGGGACAUGUGUGCAUAUAAGAGCAAACAACACCAUGUGCAGUUGUGGACAUAAUGAAACCUCUUCUGAAUUUGACAUUCUCCCCAACCAUGGCAGCAACUUCUGUGACAGCACUUUGGACUGUUGUCUCCCCACUAAGUUUAGGAUGAUCAAGAUUGACAUUAAGGUUCUGCAUGAUUGAGAGUUUGAGACAACUUUAUAAUAUCUACUUACACAUGGAAAAAACCAGGAAAAGAAGAUAAACAUAUCAUAUGAAGCUAACCAAAUCAUAUCAUGGGAACAGCAACAGACAUUACUGUGUGCACAGGAUAAGAAGCUGUGCCCUCUGUGCAAAGGGCACAGGAAGUGAGAGAGAGAGAGAGAUCCUGGGCUCGCACAUCAACGUGGCUUUUCUCUGAGAGCAUGGCUCUAGUGGAGGGAGAUAGUGCGCAACAGUUAUUCUAAGGGGGGGCUGUAGAAUAAGCCUACCCAAACUAAAUAUCUGAUAAGCACUAAAAUCUUCAUGUAGUUUAAAAAAGCAGGAUAUAUAUACAUAUUUACAAUGGCUACAAUAUCUACAAUGUGGUUGUUAAUGCUGGUAUUGCAAACAUGUUCAUUUGUAUCAUGAUCAUCUCCACAUAGCAUCCUCUGUAAUACUAGAGCCAAGUCACAUUUAUCAUGGCAUUUCCAGUCCACUGCCAUGAAGUUCUUGUGUCACAUAUGACUAAAUGGUUGAGCCAUUUUAACUUGUUUCCUUUUAUAUCCAACAUAAACAGUGUGCUAAAAAUCAGCUGUAGGUAGCAAUUCGGUGCCAGGCGGCAGCUUGGCACUGCGAUUAGCACUUUGGCGGUGAGCUCGGCAGCUGCCCCACCUCAAUAGUCAUCCUCGGUCCAACUCAGACUAGUUGUGGCAGCAAGUAUGCAGUGAAGAGGGCGACUAGUGGCCUAGGCGGCUCAGUACAGGCGAGGAUAUAAGUACCUCCCCACCCUAGCUGCCCAACCUAAUCCCCAAAUUGGAGCACGUGCAACAGCGGCUAGGGUUUGGGAGAGGCGAUGGCGAUUGAGGUCGCCAUAGACGUUGCCGCCGCCACCGUAGUUAGAUCCACUGGCAGCUCGCCUGCUCUGCUGCGACUCCUACUGCUCCGCUGCGACUUCUACUGCUCCAUCGUCCCUCUGUUCUCCCCGCCAGGCACUCACCACCAUCUACCAUCUCCACGCCACCAGCCGCUUGGACAUAUGCACCAGCACACCAGCACAGUGCACAAUUAUGGCCAACACUGAGGAAUUGAGCAAGUAAGCCAUGCUCUUUGGCCUUUGCUGUGCUACAGUCUAUUCUCUAGUAUCUAUAUACUGCUCUGUUCUUGUGUGCUCUGCUACUCUACUCUACACUAUCAGAUAUUCUUCCACAAUUUGCUUGUCUUUGCUGUGUGGGUGCGGCUGGUGGUGGUGGUAAAUUGGUGUUGCUUGCUGCCUUGAUGGAAAGCUUGUACUUGCUUGCUUGCUUUGCUUCUUGCUGCACCUGCUUUCUGUGGUGGACUGGAUUCGAAACUGCUUUUUCGCGGCUAGUCGUGCGCACCCUCCCCCGCGUCGCGCAAAGAGGAGGGCGGCAGACAGCCAUGCUUUUCCUUUUUUUUUUCCUUUUCCUGUUUCUUUCCUUUUUUUUCUGUUUCUUUUUCACUUUUUCGGGUUUUUUUUUUCGGUUUGUUAUACAAACUAUGUAUACACAUAUACUAAGUUUGUAUACAUGUAUAUUUUUUCCUUUUUUAUACAUACGUAUAUAAACUUUGUAUACGUAUGUAUACAAAGUUUGUAUAUUUUGUAUACGUUGUAUACAAACUUUGUAUACAUGUAUACAUAUUUUUUAUACAUCAAAAGUGUAUGCGUAUACAUAUAAAAAAUGUAGGGUAUAUAUACAAAGUUUACACAUAUUUUAUCGUCUAUAUACGUAUGUAUAUAUACCUCAUAUACAUGCGUAUAAACUUUGUAUUGUGGUAUAUAUACAAACGUAUAAAUACUGAGACUAGAUGGGUAGCGCUGGUCGCGCGGGUGUGCCGGCGCGCGACCAAUCGCGUAUCAACCAUCCCCGACUGGAUUGGCUUGGGGGUGGUGGUGGUCGUGGUGGUGAUUUAGUCAGGUGGAUGGCUGGAUGCUCUUGCAGCUGUGUGGUGGGUGUUACAUAAAUAUGAUCACAAGUAUCUUAAUAUCUCUAUCAGUACAGCACACUGAAUCCAUACUAUUUGAAAAGGUAGUGUGUAGUGGGCUUAAAUACAGAUACACCAUUAUUGAAAAGAUAACAUGAGAUUGAUCACAGCACCUGUUAAAGUAGAAUUUUACAUGAAAUGGAACUUAAUGAAGACUUAGAUCAGUUGGUUUCAAAUUUGUAAAAUGACGAGUCAAUCAAUUACUGGUAAAAUUGGUGGUGCUUCUAUAAAUUACACAAUAAAUGCGCCAUAACCCAAAUUAAUAUAUGGAUAACUUCAUACCUCCAAAUAGUCAGGACCAAAAGGAAAAACCAAUUCACCAGGAUCCCUUGCUGAUAAAGCCAACUUUGCUAAAGAAGAAGCCUGCAAGUUUGAUGAGAUAUAAAAAAAAAUCAUAAAUCAAGUUUAACUACCUUGAAACCACGCACAAGCACAAGCUGAACAAUCAAGGCAGUUAAAUAAGUAUGCUGUUGUGAUGUCUAAGAUAGGGAAAAGAAUAUCCUACAAGAUACACAGCUAUCAAAGAAGUUCAAGAGUACAACUGCAACAGAGCAUAAUGUCAUAAUGUUGAAAUACUCAAAUAAAACCUACAAAAGAAACUGAAAGUUAAAACAUGGACAAAAUGAUUCUGUUCAUAUUUUGAUAUGCCACAACCAACAAGCUAUACCUACAUGCUCAAAUACACUAUAUGUUUAGCAUGCACAAAAAGUAGGCAUCAGGAAUGGCAUAAAGAUACUGAGAUAAAAACUAACCAGAUACUGGAAAACAUCAUUUCUUGCCACAAAAUCCGUCUCACAGUUAAGCUCAACCACAGCGGCCCUUUUCUCAUCUUGUGCAAUAGCAAGCAAACCUUCAGCUGCAGUCCGUGAAGACUUUUUGGCAGCAAGAACCACCCCUCUCUUCCUUAGGUCCUUCUGUGCAACAUCUGAAAGAAAUCAACAAACUGUCAAUAGGAUUAACAGAUACAAACAAGUAUGCCGAUGAAGUAAUGCUAAUGCAAUCAGAAAUAAGCACAAACCAAUAUCCCAGUUGCAACUAACUAAGGAAGCCUUCACAUCUUUGAUUGGAGCGCUCGUCCUCUCCCUCAGCUGUUUGAUGAGAUUCAUUUGCUCCGACGCAGGAACUUCGGAGCUGAAUCUCCUGAGAAGUGUGGCGCUUUGAUCGACAUUGCUGCUCGAAAGGUGAGCCUGGAACGCUGAAUAAGAGUAACCCCGAGCAGAAUGUUGUUGGGCGCGAAACAGAAGCCCAAUCAUGGGCUUUCUAGCACUCUGACUCCAGGCCAUUCUCACAAUGUUCUGCAAUGCAGAAUAUGCAGUACUGUUGGUAAACUAAACUAUCAUCAAUAAACAUCAGAAAAGCGAGCUCCACCGAUUAGGUCUCAACUAAAGAAAAGAGAUAUGUCAUCCCAUUUCUGCAACUAGGCAGCGGCGGAUCCAACUUGGCCAAACUUUUUGGGGAACAAACAACAAACUGUUACUUGUAUUAAGGUUAAGGCUCUGAAAUUAAGAGAGGAGCUUCUUCCAGAUCUAGAAGAAGAGCUAGGGUUAACGAACGCAAGCAAAUUCCAGACAAAAGUAGUCCCGGUGGGAGAGAGAGAUGAAUCAGGAUGUGGAUGCUCACCAGGAUCCCCUCCCCUGCUCUGCUCGCCAGAUGGAGAUCGGCGCCCCUCCCCUGUUCAGCAGAGAGAUGACGCAAGGAGCGGAGGAGACGAGACGGGAUACCUCGGCGAGGACGGAGACGGAGACGCGGACGACGGCGGCGGCGGCGGCGGCGGCGGCGGCGACGAGUGGAGCGCAGCCGCAGGGACGGGACAGUGAGGGAGACGAGGGUUUUGGGUUUUCCGUCUCGGAGGGCUGGUUUGUACGUCGAUGGGCCGAGCUUACGUGGGCCUAUUGGGUUGAAGCCCAUUUGGUAAAACUUCGACACAUGUAGGAAUAAGUCUAAUAUGCGUCCCUCAACUCAUGCAUCUGGUUGAAAUGCACCCCUCAACCGCAAAACCAGGUAUAACUUUCCCCUCUUCAUCCCACGUGGCAUCGACAUGGCGUUUACGUGACACUAAAAUAAAAAUAAAAAGAAAAUUUUGGGCCCACGUGUCACAUAUGCGUAACCAUGUAUUUGCCUGCCACCCUUUAGAAAGCCAAGUGCAGAGCACUUGUUAGUUGUUAGUACAAACCUAUCAAGACGGACACCUUAAAUCCCCAUACUGUCAAACAACUCUACGGCUACUCCACCACACCCAAUCUGAGCGUAUCCUUCCACCACACCCAAUCUGAGCGUAUCCUGUGAUAACCGUAUUCCAAGUAGUUGGGCGCCUGGGCCUCCUGUUGGGAGUGCAUGAAACACCAACAUUGCCUCAUCCAUGCUGCGAAGCUUUGCAUACAAGUUGAUAGGCACUACGUUACCUGUAUACGGCAAAAAAAUCACGUAUCCAUAUCGGAUGAUACGGUAUCGGAUACGCUCCGAUAUGUGUCCCGUACGUAUCCAUGAUUUUCACAACUAACAAAUAAAACAAAGUAAAUCUGGAUAUUUCGUGGAUACGCCUUGAUACAUCGCUUGAAAUCGCUGAGCAGUACAAAUCCAUGGCAACCACCAUGUGAGCUGGCUCGAUCUUGUUCACCAUUUGAUGCCCCUACAAGCGCAUGGUUCCUAUGCUGCCGCUGUCGGACGCCAUAGCUCCACCUCUGCUAUUGGGUGUGGCACUGACGGUGUCCCCGUCGUAGCCGGAUGUAAUGCUUCCCCCUCCGCGAGUCGGUUGGCCGCCGUUGGACGUAUUACCUCCACCGCUGAGCGUGGUCCCGCCGCCGCUCGGGCGCUGCUGCUGCCUACUGGGCGCAGUGGGGCCUCCUCCUCAGUGGUCAGGCGCAGCGCCAUAGUUGAACACAACCCAUGCACCGCUGGGUAUUUGCUUAUUGGUUUGUUGCUUCUUUGAUUUGUUUCCAUAAAGUACAGGCGCAUUCGUUUUUUAUGUAGGGUUUGGGAGUAGUAAGGUACGGCUGGUAAUGUUGUUGCAGCCUACAGGCUCACUAACAGUAUUUUAUGAAACAAUCAAGCUUCAUCAUAUUUCUUUUUUUUUGUCAUGGACAUGUGUGGAUCCAUCUUUAUUUGUAUACGGGCGUAUCCCAAAAUUUAUAGUUUAGAAAAUAAAAUUUGUAUAGGUGUAUCUCCGUAUCCAUGUUUUCUGAAAAAUACCGUAUCCCCGUAUCUGGGUAACAUAGGAUAGACGUAGUCCCAACAUAGACAUUAGCAUUCAGGUCCAACUUGACGUCAAUCCCAUUCACUUGCUUACCGAAUAAAACAGCCUUAGAUUGUGUACACGCACGUAGGAGGCCUCCCAGAAGGCAGCGAAGAUGGAAAUCGUAGAGUCAUCGCGCCCGUGCUGUGUGUACAUGGAGAUGACCGAGCCCCAGGAGGCAGGAGACAAGGUUCCGAUGGUGCAUUAGAGCAACUCCAGUGUACGAGUAAAAUCGAACCAUACUUGAAAAACCGAAUACAACACACUACAGCAACCAACUGUUAUAUGUUAGAGCAAAAAUCGACCACAGAAGGAGAGACGAACUCGGCGAUGAAAAGGUAAUUUGCAGUCGUUGGCUGGCUGCACGAGAGAGGGAUGGACGCAUGUGAUUAGAGAUUCUUUUUCUACGUGGGUCCAUGAUCAAUGUCACACAUUGCAGCCAACGAAUCAAAAUUUUGCUCGACCAUGCUUAUUCAACAUUUGAACUAUGACUAAGGUGCCUUAGAUCGAACAGGUGGGUACAGACUCACCCCGUCCCAUUCCCCUAGCUAUCCUUAUCUCUCUCUCUCUCUCUCUCUCUCUCUCUCUCUCUAUAUAUAUAUAUAUAUAUAUAUAUAUAUAUAUAUAUAUAUAUAUAUAUAUAUAUCAGCUAUUCACUUUCCAUUUAUAUUACACAUAGCUUGCACUAAAAGUUGAUUAAACUCAAACUUUAUCGAUCGCUCGAGCCGUCACUUAUAAUAAAUAUGAGUAAAUUGCACCCACGGUGCAACAACUUGGUAGGUGGGUGUAAUUUGGUGUAAUAACUUGAAAAAUGAGCGUUCUAUUACAACAACUUGGCAAGAAGGUGCAAUUUAGUAUAAGAACUUUAUAAGUGAUCGUAUAAAUACAGCAACUUUGCAAGGUAAGUACGAUUUUGAUAUAAUAAAUUAAGAAGUUGUGUGACAACUUAAUUAUUUGGAGCAUUUUUUAUAUAAAUUCAAAUUUUUAAGUAUUUAUUUUGACAAUAUACUAGCGUGGAUUUGUAUAAACAUAUUUAUAUUUUUAUCCUAAUAACUAAUAACUCUAAUAACUAAUAACUGAAAGUUAAUUAAACUGGAUGUAGAAAUUAUUAUAUUUGGUUGAUAUUUGAGAAGGUGAAGAAAACAAAAAAAUUCUUAAAGAAAACUGAAUGUAAAUUGUAUGUGCAAUAUAAUUCUUAAAGAUUAAAUUCAAUAUUAUAAGAUAAUAUCCAUAGGAUUACUAUGUAUUGGCAUAUUGAUAUCGGAAAAAACUCACCUAGCAUAUGCUUAGCCAAAUUGAUUCACCAAAAUACUAAAUUGUCAAGUUCUUGUAUUAGAACGCACCCACUUGUCAAGUUGUUGCACUCGGACAUUCAAUUCUCAAGUUCUUGCACUAUAUCGCACCCACCUGCCGAUAGGGGUGGAAACGAGCCAAGCCGAGCCGAGCUCGGCUUCGUGAAAGCUUGGUCAAGAACAGGCUUGGCUCGGCUCGGCUUGAUAAAUGGAACGAGCAAAAAGUGCAGCUCGGCUUGGCUCAUUUAAAAGCUCGAGCCGGCUUGAGCCAGCUUGAGAGGGUGGCCGAGCGGCACUGGGGAGGGAGGCCGGAGGCAGCGCAGGGGAGGGAGGCGGCGCCGCGGCGGCAUAGGGAGUGUCGAGCCAUUGACCGUCGAGUGUCGCUGGGGAGGGAGGCCGGAGCCGGUGCAGCCGCACAGGGGAGGGAGGCGGCGCAUGGGAGGGCGGGCCGGAGGGAUGUGGCGGGCCGGCGGCACAGGGGAGGGAGGCAGCGAACCGGCGGCACAUAGGGGUGACUGGGGAUGGGGGAGGGAAGCGGCGCCGUGGUGGCGCGGGGAGCGUCGAGCGCCGCUGGUGAGGGAGGCCGGAGCCACGCAGCCGCACAGGGGAAGGAGGCGGCGCAGGGAGGGAAGCGGCGAGCCGGCGGCACAGAGGAGCGACUGGGGACGGGGGAGGAAGGCGGCAAGCCGAUGGGUGGCGGCGCAUGGGAUGGAGCCGAAGGUGGCGGCCGGCAACUCCUCUCGCUAGUGACGCCGGUCGUGCGUGCGUGCGGCGGCGUGCCUGCACCUGCGUGGGAUGGGGAAUGGGGAGGGUCGGACGGAGCAGUUAGGGUAGGGUUCUCUGUUGUUUUUUAUGGGCCAGACUGAGACAACUUGUUAAUGGGCUAGGCUAGGUCAUGUUUUUCACAGGCUUGACGAGCCUACCGAGCGGCUCGUGAGCUAGCUCGGGCUCGGCUCGAUUUGCAAACAAGCUGUGGAGGGAGCUCGGGCUCGGCUCGUUUAGUCUUCGAGCCGAGCCAAGCUCACGAGCCUAAGUUUUUUGUCCACCCCUACCUGCCAAGUUGUUGUACCGUGGGUGCAAUUUACUCUAAACAAAAUAUAAGGUAAUCUACGAUAAUAAAAAUCAGACUAAGCUUAAAUACAUAUUUUUCCCUAAAAAAUAUUCCGCGACUUAUCUGAUUUAAAUAAGAUAAUUGCCAAAAAAAAUCAUCGCGAACUUUCAAUUGUAAUUACAACAUAUAACAACGGUGUAACAUUAUAUAAAUAUAGAGUAUAAAGUUACAUAUUUUAUAAUAUAUUUACAUAUAAAUUAUAUUGUAUUAUAGUAUAGUUAUAUUUCAAAGCUUUCCACUCAAAAAACGUGUCGUAGUUUUUAAUAAUUCCUCAAAUAACACUUCAAUUUAAGCAUGUUGUCGUCUAAUUCUGCCAUGAACACUAACGGCUCGAUCAGAAAAUUAUCGACAACGGUUCCUUUUUAACUACAAACACUUACACGCACGAGUACUUUUCUAACACAGUUAAAAAUUCGAAAAUGCUACACGUACAUCCGAAAUGUCACGCCGUUGUGCAUUUGCUGUUUUACCAUUUAGUCGUACGCCGGUGGGACACCUAGUUAUUGGAACCGACCGGACCGGCGGUUGGAUCGGAAAAAACCGAAACCGGUUCCUUUUUAACUCCAAACACUUACAUCCCGUUAUAACGCACGAGUACUUUUCUAACAUAGUUAAAAAUUCGAAAAUGCUACACAUACAUCCGAAAUGUCACGCCGUUAUGCAUUUGCUGUUUUGCCGUUUAGUCGUACGCCGGUCUAGUCCAGCUAAAAGACCGGUUGUGCAAUCAGCCUGGUAUAUACCGGUUGGGCCGCCCGAUCUGCAUUGUGCGUGGUCACCUUCGCAGCUGGAGAGGGAAAAGGGUGGGAUUCGAUCCCAGGACCUCAUGUAUAAAAGUAAACCAACCAACCACUAGAUUACGAUAUACCUUGUGUUUUGAAGGGAUAAACAAUAUAUUUACAUUAGAUUGAACCGCUUCAAACCAGUGGUUCAACACUUUAACCAGUUGAACCAAUAAAUCAUUGAAUUGAGAGCAUCGCUGGUUUAAUGACCGGUCCGGUCUUAAUAAUUAUUAUGAUGUGACAAAGAACAUCGGAUGCAUAGCGGGGUUCUUAAAAAUUACUCAUGCGUCAACAACGCGGUUGCAAGAAACCGUUGGCUCACGCCACCCGCGCCGCGCUGCGACCCAGCCUCCGUUCGAGCUGCGUGCGCGUGCACCGCCACCGAGCCGAACCAGCUGUCGCCUGUCGCCGGGCUCGGACCCGAGUCAAGCGAGUCAAGCCUUCCGGUGCGGCUGCGGCUGGCCUCGCGUACGGCCGCCACGUGGCCUCGCCGUAUCAAUCACGAGAAGGGGAGAAAAGUGGGGCGUUGCCCAGAAACCCCAGCUGCUUGCUCGCCGCGCGCUCUCUUCUCGCCGCCUCGGCCUCGCCGCCGUGGCCGCCGGUGCCUGGACGAGGAGGAGGUGAGGGCGUACGCUUCGGCCGGUCCGCCGGCCGCGCCGCGCCGCGCCUCUGUUUGUUCUCUGCUUGGGCUCGCCGUGUUGGCGUGUGGAUGUGUAACGGCUAAUUUGGUUCGGUUUUUGUGCUUGGUGGUGGUGGUGAUUGCAGGGCUGGAUCGCUGGGAGAUGUUGAGCAGCGGCGCGCGGUGGCAGCCGCGGCGAAGCGGAUGGGCGGAGUGGGGCGGCGACGCUCGCCCGGCUCGCUCUCCUCCUCCUCGUCGUCGUCGUCCCGACGUCGCUGCGGGUUGGCGAGGCGAGGGGACCAGUAGAGUGCGGGGGCGCGGGGAGAAGGGAACGACUCAUGGUGGAGCGGAAGGCGAGGGCGCGGUGGUGGCGCCGGUGAGAACAGCGGACGCGGUGCCGGCGAGAAAUGCGGUGGCCGUCGCCGGUGGUUUGGCCACGCGCGGCGUCGAGCGGGAUGCUGGCCAGGUGGUGGCGAGAGAGGAGAAGAGACAUGGCGGCGAGUUGGGGACCAAGAGAGGAUUGGAGGAGCGGGCCGCGCGUUCGCCGCCGCCGCCGCCGCCGCCCAAGCGGAGGGCGGUGUCCGCUAUUCGCCAGUUUCCCCCAGGUUGCGGAAGGGACGCUGCUGCUCCAGUCGCCCGCGGCCGCGGUUGUGAUGGUGGUGUUCGUCUGUUGGAUGAGGCAACCGCUGCUCCUCUCGCUGGCAGCAAAGAUGAUUCUGCUGUUCCGGGUGUGGUGGAGAAGGUGGCGUCUGUAGAUGGUGGCGAUUCAAUGGCGAAUGCGCAUCAUCAUCAUCAUGCUAUGAUGGACACGGUCUUGAUGAAAUCUUCACAUGUUUCGGAUGAGAAUCAGGUCGCUCGCAAAGUUGGUUCACUGGAAAAUGGCGCAGAAGGGUCAGCGAGGGGAAAGGGAGGACACGGCGGUGAAUUGCUGGGAAGGAAGGAAGUGUUGGCUCAAGCCGCGAAUUUGCUUCCCAAGAGGAGGAUUGUAUCUGCGACGCGCCGCUUCCCUCCUGGGUGUGGGAGGGACGCUGUGGCUCCACUUGCUCACAGAGAAGAGAGUAAGGUAGGUUCAAGUUUGGAAGCCAUGCCUGUUGAUGCUGGUUGGGGUGUGUCAAAGGAGGUGGUGACUACGGAUGGCCGUAAUAAUUCGGUUAACCAGUGUGCCUCGAACAUUGUCGGAACAGUAAAGUGCCAGGAAUUGGAGGAGGGUGAGGUAGCUGCUGAGGCAUGCUGUGAUGUGGAGUCACAAAAAGUUGCUGGUCAUGGAGAAAAACUUGAAAGUGCUGUUCCUGUAACUUCUGCUGUUACUGAAGUUUUGACAAGGUGUGGUUCUGAUGAGAUGGAAGGGUGUAGUUAUGCUGCGGAGGCAACUGAAAAACACUUGUCAAUGGGUGGUAAAUGUUCAAUUGGUGGUCCUUUCAAUGAAAUUGUCCACGGCAAGAGAGUGUUGGGGAGUGAUGGCAUUAAAAGGGAAGUUCCUAGUCUUGCAAUGGAAGAUCAUGGCAGCAUUGCUCAUGACCAAGAACUGGUGGAGGUUGAGUUAACUACAGGGGACCAUAUUCAGGAGGCUCAAGUUGCUACCACUGUUAACCCACAUGAGUCUACAAUUAGUAGACAUGAGGCAGCUGUUUCAGCAAAUACUGCUCCAGAAGUUUCUAUUAGGCAUUUUUCUAGUGUGAAGAACGGAAACACAUCACAGCAUGAGGAGACGAUAUAUGCAUCUGCAGCUGCUGACGUUGUUAAGGUGAUGAAUAAAUGCAAAGGGACCAAAUCCAAAGCUGCGGCUGAACCUUGGGCUGAAGGUCCUUCCAAAGAACACUUCAAGGCUAAGAGGGAGUGUGAAAAAGAUGGGAUGAAAAAAUCAUCCAUGAAUGUUCCAACAGAAGUAUUUCGUGAUGGUAUCAUGAGAACUAAGUUACUAUUGACAGCUAGAAAAGCAGUCAAGCCACCACUGAAUACUCUGCAUAUACCCUUCUCCAUGGGAAAAGAGGAGUCUGUUGUAACAAAUAGUGCAUCAUUUGGUCCUAAGAAGAAGGUGAAGGUGAAAAGCCCGCAUGAAAGUAAAGGUAUUCCUAUGAAGAUUGUCUCUACAUCUGGAUUGGCGGGCAAGGACAACCUUAUCAAUGAAAAGGCUUUGAGCUUGGAAGAUGAUGAUAUUUUGAAGGCACUAGCUGUUCAUAAUGGAAAGCUAGAGUUGUAUCUCAAUGUUCCCUCAUGCGUUGAGCGUCACAGGCAACAUGGAAGUGAGAAUGGCAAUGAUAGGAGCAAAAUCAGGAUGCUAUGCAGGAGGUUUCAAUUUAUAUGCAACGCUCUUCUACAUGCUGUUGAACAAGGCUCAUUGAUGGUUCGACGAAUUGACCUUGAAGCUGAUAAAAUCAUCAGGAAAUUGCCGGGCUUUACUAAACAUGGACCUACUGUGGGAAAUGUUCGUGGAGUCGAAGUCGGUGACGAAUUUCUGUACAGAGUUGAGCUAGCUCUUGUUGGUCUUCAUCGCCCAUACCAGGGAGGA